rnacentral:rRNA from 1 species
AUUGAACGCUGGCGGCAUGCCUAACACAUGCAAGUCGAACGAGUGGCGGACGGGUGAGUAAUGUCUGGGAAAUUGCCUGCUGGAGGGGGAUAACUCCUGGAAACGGUAGCUAAUACCGCAUAACAGCGGAUGUGACAAGUUGGGAUUGGCUAUUGGGGGGGGGAACGGGUCACCUAGGCGACGAUCCCUAGAUGGUCUGAGAGGAUGACCAGCCACACUGGAACUGGGACACGGUCCAGACUCCUACGGGAGGCAGCAGGGGGGAAUAUUGCACAAUGGGCGCAAGCCUGAGUCAGCCAGGCCGCGUGUAUGAAGAAGGCCUUCGGGUUUUAAAGUACUUUCAGCGGGGAGGCGUGACCCGCAGAAGAAGCACCGGCUAACUCCGUGCCAGCAGCCGCGGUAAUAC